rnacentral:rRNA from 1 species
AUGAGGGGCUAUGGGAACAAUGGUACAUGGGCCGAUGUCGAGUUCCCCGCCCCUCACGUCAUGUAUCUUCGCCAAGGGUGGAAGACCUUUUCCCGUAUCCACAGCCUGACGGAGGGGCUCACUCUCCAUUUCAAGUUAAUGGAGAGAGGCCUCCACUCCAUCAAGGUCUUUGGGCACUUCGGGACUCGCAUAAGGUGCUGCGUGGAGUGCUCCUCUGAUGACGAAGACUCCUCCUCGAGCAAGAGUGACGAGGAGGACAGCGACAGUGACGACGAGGGUAACGGGCGGCACGACGACGGGUCUGACUAG